CCUACGGGUGGCAGCAGUGGGGAAUAUUGGACAAUGGGCGAAAGCCUGAUCCAGCCAUGCCGCGUGUGUGAAGAAGGCCUUCGGGUUGUAAAGCACUUUCAGUGGGGAAGAAAGCCUUGGGGCUAAUACCCUCGAGGAAGGACAUCACCCACAGAAGAAGCACCGGCUAACUCCGUGCCAGCAGCCGCGGUAAUACGGAGGGUGCGAGCGUUAAUCGGAAUUACCGGGCGUAAAGCGCGCGUAGGCGGUCUGAUAAGCCGGUUGUGAAAGCCCCGGGCUCAACCUGGGAACGGCAUCCGGAACUGUCAGGCUAGAGUGCAGGAGAGGAAGGUAGAAUUCCCGGUGUAGCGGUGAAAUGCGUAGAGAUCGGGAGGAAUACCAGUGGCGAAGGCGGCCUUCUGGACUGACACUGACGCUGAGGUGCGAAAGCGUGGGUAGCAAACAGGAUUAGAUACCCGUGUAGUC
rnacentral:rRNA from 1 species